rnacentral:rRNA from 1 species
CAGUAGCCGCGGGAAUACGUAGGGUGCAAGCGUUAAUCGGAAUUACUGGGCGUAAAGCGUGCGCAGGCGGUUAUAUAAGACAGAUGUGAAAUCCCCGGGCUCAACCUGGGUACUGCAUUUGUGACUGUAUAGCUAGAGUACGGCAGAGGGGGAUGGAAUUCCGCGUGUAGCAGUGAAAUGCGUAGAUAUGCGGAGGAACACCGAUGGCGAAGGCAAUCCCCUGGGCCUGUACUGACGCUCAUGCACGAAAGCGUGGGGAGCAAACAGGAUUAGAUACCCCGGUAGUCCCUGUCUCUUAUAC